rnacentral:rRNA from 1 species
UGGGGGAAUUUUGGACAAUGGGCGAAAGCCUGAUCCAGCAAUGCCGCGUGUGUGAAGAAGGCCUUCGGGUUGUAAAGCACUUUUGUCCGGAAAGAAAUCCUCUGGGUUAAUACCUCGGGGGGAUGACGGUACCGGAAGAAUAAGCACCGGCUAACUACGUGCCAGCAGCCGCGGUAAUACGUAGGGUGCAAGCGUUAAUCGGAAUUACUGGGCGUAAAGCGUGCGCAGGCGGUUUUGUAAGACGGAUGUGAAAUCCCCGGGCUUAACCUGGGAACUGCAUUCGUGACUGCAAGGCUAGAGUAUGGCAGAGGGGGGUAGAAUUCCACGUGUAGCAGUGAAAUGCGUAGAGAUGUGGAGGAAUACCGAUGGCGAAGGCAGCCCCCUGGGCCAACACUGACGCUCAUGCACGAAAGCGUGGGGAGCAAACAGGAUUAGAUACCCUGGUAGUCCACGCCCUAAACGAUGUCAACUAGUUGUUGGGGAUUCAUUUCCUUAGUAACGUAGCUAACGCGUGAAGUUGACCGCCUGGGGAGUACGGUCGCAAGAUUAAAACUCAAAUGAAUUGACGGGG